GAAGACUUGCUGCAGUAGGGUUGCUGAUUGCAGCCUGUAAAACUAAAAGCUACAGUUAGGAAAAUUUAGAUGCUGGUCUGUCAUUUAAUGGUUUGGGUGGUGGUUUCUUCUCAAUGCAGCUGACACUGACAUGGUUUAGUGUUUGUGUGUGUGUAUGUGUGUGUGUGUAUGUGUGUGUGGUGCUAGUGUGAAUGGAUCAGCUACAGCAGGAUUAUUGGGAAAAACUGUGAUCAGCGAUUGGUCGUUGGGAACAAUGGCGCUCAAUGAUUGGUUGUUGGGAACAAUGUAAAUCGUUUAUUGACUGUUCAGGACAACGUAGAUUAAAGAUUGGCUGUUGGGAACAAUGCGGAUCAGUGAUUCAUUGUUGGGAACAACAGUGUUCAUUGAUUGGUUGCUGGAAACAUUGUAGAUCAUUGAUUGUUGGGAACAACGUAGAUCAGUGACUGGUAAUUGGGAACGAUGGCACUCAGUGACUGGUUAUCGGGAACGAUGUAGGUCAGUGACUGGUUGUUGGGAACGAUGUAGAUCAGUGAUUGGUUGUUGGGAAUGACGGUGAUCAGUGAUUGGUUGUUGGUGAGUCGAGUGACCUGCUCUCUCAACUCUUACAACCAGCAGCUGUCAUGUGAGCUGUAGAGUCGUAUCAGUCGCUAACGUCUGCUCAAAAAGCCGACAUAUUUGCUGCUAGAAGUGAAAUAAAGUUGCAGUGGAGUUUAAAAAGUCAUCAAAUCUAGUGCCAAAGUCAGUAAGUUGGCUACACAGUGUCUAAUAAAGUGCAAUGCAUUAAAAGUGUUACAUUUCUGAGAAUGAGACACAACCAAAUUAUGUGCGCUCAGCGGUAGUGUUAUGGAGAUCCCUUUCUAUUUAUG
ensembl:lncRNA